rnacentral:rRNA from 1 species
GGCCUGAGAGGGUGAUCCCCCACACUGGUACUGAGACACGGACCAGACUCCUACGGGAGGCAGCAGUGAGGAAUAUUGGACAAUGGGUGAGAGCCUGAUCCAGCCAUCCCGCGUGAAGGACGACGGCCCUAUGGGUUGUAAACUUCUUUUGUAUAGGGAUAAACCUACCCUCGUGAGGGUAGCUGAAGGUACUAUACGAAUAAGCACCGGCUAACUCCGUGCCAGCAGCCGCGGUAAUACGGAGGGUGCAAGCGUUAUCCGGAUUUAUUGGGUUUAAAGGGUCCGUAGGCUGAUGUGUAAGUCAGUGGUGAAAUCUCACAGCUUAACUGUGAAACUGCCAUUGAUACUGCAUGU